rnacentral:rRNA from 1 species
GAUGAACGCUGGCGGCGUGCUUAACACAUGCAAGUCGAACGGAAAGGCCCAAGCUUGCUUGGGUACUCGAGUGGCGAACGGGUGAGUAACACGUGGGUGAUCUGCCCUGCACUUCGGGAUAAGCCUGGGAAACUGGGUCUAAUACCGGAUAGGACCACAUUUUGGAUGGUGUGGUGGAAAGUUUUUCGGUGUGGGAUGAGCUCGCGGCCUAUCAGCUUGUUGGUGGGGUAAUGGCCUACCAAGGCGUCGACGGGUAGCCGGCCUGAGAGGGUGUACGGCCACAUUGGGCCUGAGAGAGGGCCCAGACUCCUACGGGAGGCAGCAGGGGGGAAUAUGGCACAAUGGGCGCAAGCCUGAUGCAGCGACGCCGGGUGGGGGAUGACGGCCUUCGGGUUGUAAACUCCUUUCGCUAGGGACGAAGCGUUUUUGUGGCGGUACCUGGAGAAGAAGCACCGGCUAACUACG